rnacentral:sRNA from 1 species
UCAAUGACAAACCAGGGACACGUUCUUGC